GCCAUAACUCAUCAAUCUCCGGUGGUUGCAGACAGUUGGAUGAUGGCACUCAACACAAUAAGUGUAAUGAUUUCAACAAGCAAUCCUGCUUGUACACUUCAAAAAUCAUUCAGGAUAAAACUUGUGCAAGUGGCACCAAUCAUAUUAGAAACUCUCCUGAUCCAAUCAACCAUUUACAGCAUCAACAGUUGUUGAAGGAGAAUGCUAGGUCUCUGAAUACUUCAUCCCAUGCAAAAUGUGGUACUGAAGAAACUAAUUUGCAAAACG
rnacentral:misc_RNA from 1 species